GUCGCUUUAGAAAGGGGAGCAAUCCCUGAGUAAAGUGGCGCUUUGGUGAGUAAUUGAGAUUGAAUGAUCUACCUCCGAGUGGGGAAUAACUGAGAGAAAUCUUAGCUAAUACCGCAUAACAUUGAGAUUUAGUCAAAGCAGCAAUGCGCUUGGAGAGGAGUUCGUUUUCCGGAUUAGUUAGUUGGCGGGGUAAUGGCCCACCAAGUUUAUGAUCGGUAUCUUUUCCGUGAGAGGGCGCUUUGACACACUGGAACUGAAAUUGAGAUGUCCAGACUCCUUUUGGAGGCAGCAGUGGGGAACUCUGCGCAAUGGGGGAAACCCUGUUUCAGCAUUUCCGCGUGGAGGAUGAAAUCCCUUGGGAUGUAAACUCCCUCCGAUGGGGAAGAUUAUGUUUGUACCCAUAGAAGAAGCCCCGGCUAAUUGAGACGUGCCAGCAGCCGCGGUAAUUUUAGGGGGGCAAGCGUUGUUCGGAAUUAUUGGGCGUAAAGGGUGCGUAGGCGGCUCGACAAGUCUGAUGUGAAAUCUAUGGGCUCAACCCAUAGUCUGCAUCGGAAACUGUCGGGCUUGAGUAUGGGAGAGGUGAGUGGAACUCCCGGUGUAGCGGUGAAAUGCGUAGAUAUCGGAAGGAACACCUGUGGCGAAAGCGGCUCACUGGACCAUUACUGUUUCUGAGGCUUUAAAGCUAGGGGAGCAAACAGGAUUAGAUACCCUGGUAGUCCUAGCCCUAAU
rnacentral:rRNA from 1 species